rnacentral:rRNA from 1 species
UACGUAGGGUGCAAGCGUUGUCCGGAAUUAUUGGGCGUAAAGAGCUUGUAGGCGGUUUGUCGCGUCUGCUGUGAAAUUUCGGGGCUCAACCCCGAACUUGCAGUGGGUACGGGCAGACUAGAGUGUGGUAGGGGAGACUGGAAUUCCUGGUGUAGCGGUGAAAUGCGCAGAUAUCAGGAGGAACACCGAUGGCGAAGGCAGUACUCUGGGCUAACACUGACGCUGAGGUGCGAAAGCGUGGGGAGCAAACGGG